UACGUAGGGUGCGAGCGUUGUCCGGAAUUAUUGGGCGUAAAGAGCUUGUAGGCGGUUUGUCGCGUCUGCUGUGAAAAUCCGGGGCUCAACCCCGGACUUGCAGUGGGUACGGGCAGACUAGAGUGAUGUAGGGGAGACUGGAAUUCCUGGUGUAGCGGUGAAAUGCGCAGAUAUCAGGAGGAACACCGAUGGCGAAGGCAGGUCUCUGGGCAUUAACUGACGCUGAGGAGCGAAAGCGUGGGGAGCGAACAGG
rnacentral:rRNA from 1 species